GAUAAAGGUCUGCGGAACAGGUGGAUAACUGGUGGUCAAAUCUAGAGCUAAUACAGUGCCACGAUGCUUCGACUAACGAAGAAGUGCUUUUAUUAGAUCAAAGCCAAUGUUGUCUUCGGGCAACUGCUUACGAUGACUCUGAGUAUAGUAAGCUGAUUGCAUUGCCCUUUUAGGGCAGACGCACUUAUCUUUCAAGUGUCCUACCUAUCAACUAUCGUUGCAAGUCGAGAUGCACUACUAUGGAUCGUUACGGGUUGACCCUAAAUCUGGGUACGACUCCGUCGAGAGACCAUGAAAAACGACUGUAGCACCUAUGUAAGUAUGCCGUGCCACAAAUUACCCGCUCCGGGCUCGCGGAGGGAGUGACGAAUAACAAAGAUGCUGCAAUCUUCGCAUUCUGCGAUCGCAAUGCGAACUAUUAAAAACCUUUAUCCGAGGAUCUAGUUGCAGGGCAGAGUUCAUGGUGCCAGCGGCCGCGCAUAAUUCUCGCUCGAAUGGCGCAUGUCAAAUUUGCUGCACAUUAAAAAGCUCGUAGUUUGAAUCUCAGAAAGAUGUGCUAAGCGCUGCUAGAGCUGAGAGUAUCUGCCGGUACUGCUCCCCGGUAUCACUUUCCUGAAUGCAACUGCUCCGGCGUCGAUAAUUCAUUGUUACGCAUUGCCUGACGCCGAAAUCCAAAGUAUAGCACUACUCUUGUAGAAAAUCGAGCGCUGCUUAACGCAGGCCCCUUUUGCGUGGUAAUACUGCUUCGCAUGGCAAGCAAUGCCGAUAGGAACCCUUGAGCUCCUGUUAACGGGGGCAUUCGUAUUGUGGUGCUAGAGGUGAAAUUCUAUGACCACCGCAAGACGAACAAUUGCGAAAGCAUUUGCCAAGAAUGUUUUCAUUAAUCAAGAACGAAAGUUAGAGUUUCGAAGACGAUUAGAUACCGUCCUAGUUUUAACUAUAAACUAUGCCAACUGGGCAUCUGGCGUUUGCAAACGAGCAUCGUCAGGCACCCCGCGGGAAACCAAAGUUAUUGGGUUCCGGGGGGAGUAUGGUUGCAAAAUCGAAACUUAAAGGAAUUGACGGAGGGGCACACCAGAAGUGGAGCCUGCGGCUCAAUUUGACUCAACGCACGAAAACUUACUCGGUCCGAACACCGUGAGGAUUGACAGGUUGAGAGCUCUUUCUUGAUUCGGUGGGUGGUGGUGCAUGGCCGUUCGUAGUUGGUGGAUUGAUUUGUCUGGUUUAUUCCGAUAACGAACGAGACUCUAGCCUAUUAAUUAGUAAAGCGUGCAAGCCUUCAAUUAAUUGAUUGGUAAUGCCGCUCAAACGCUGCUUAGAGGGACAAGUGUCGCGAGACACUCGAAGUCGAGCAAUAACAGGUCUGUGAUGCCCUUAGACGUUCGGGGCUGCACGCGCGCUACAAUGGAGGCUGCAAAGCGCAUUCCUGUUCCGUAAGSAGCGGSGAAUCAAAAAUAGCCUUCCCGAUUGGGAUCGGAGAUUGUAAUUAUUCUUCGUGAAAGAGGAAUUCCUAGUAAGCGCGGAUCAUUAUUCCGCGUUGACUAAGUCCCUGCCCUUUGUACACACCGCCCGUCGCUACUACCGAUCGAAUGGUUUAGUGAGGUUUUCGGAUGGGUUGCAUGGCGCCACAAGCUCCACUGCAUACUGCAGAAGUUGACCAAACUUAACCAUUUAGAGGAAGUAAAGUCCUAACCAGGGACCCGACGGAAAGGGGUUUUCGUGUGGUCUACCUGUG
rnacentral:rRNA from 1 species